UUUCCCGCCCACUGGGACACCUGACUGUGGACGCGGACGCCGGAGUUCAGCUUCUCUCAGCGCAAAAACGUCUUCAAAAAACUGUUAAAAGACGUUUUUCAGAAGCGCGACUUUUCCACAGUGUAGUAAAUUCAGGAGACUAGCUGAGGUAGAGGACCUGAGGGCUUACAAGGAACAUAAAACGACAGAGACUCAGCAAGAGUGUACCUGAUCUGUGGUGGUUCCUCACCCUCCUGUGGGUUCCUCACCACUGAAGACCAAGGUUUCGUAUGCAGAGAAACAGAAGGACUACACUGUACUACAGACUUUACAGGUUGACUGGCUGUAAUCAGUGGAUAUAAGUGGCCCAUACUUGCCGCAGGACUAAAGAAGCAGACUUUGUCUUGGACAAUCCACUACGUAUAAAGGUGCCAGGUUCUUGCCAAUAUACCGGGUAGGGCCUCACAAUCAGACCUCGCUCCAACUGAGAUUAUUCACUUUACCUUGCCAUGAGCACGUUGGCCAGGUUUUAGCUUAACUUAAUACCCAGCAACUUUUACCUAUGUACUUCAUCUUACUGUAUCAGUUUACGUAUUGCAGUCCCAUGACUUUUGGCAUUUUAUGUAUAAACGCGCAUAUGGCUUCUCAGUGGUAUGCCGCUUUUUCAAACAUGUUUUUUCAAUGAUUCUUCUAUACAGUACCGUGUUCCUGCCGUGACAACACUGUUGUCAUCUCUGUAAAAUAUAAAUCAUUACAUGAGAUGUACAUAA